ACAAUACAAUGUAUGAUAAUGAUUGUUAAAAUAAAUAAUCAUUCAAGGUUUGAUUUUUGUUUUCAGCACCGAAAAAACAAGGAAAAUUUAAAGGCCUGCAAAAUCCCAAGGAGGCUGGCGGCGGAAAUAGAUGCUAUAGUGGAGGAGGCUCUGGAGAGGCAGGAUAUAUUUGAGUGAAGGACAUUAGAAACAAUGUAAGGAAAAGUGAUUUGUAAGGAGUACUCUGGAGAGGAGGGUACAGUGUCUGUAGGCAUAGACAAUCUAAGGAAUCAGUGAAAGCGCUUCAAAUUCCCCGCAGACUGCAGGGGAAAGUUAACGCAGCGAUCGAGGAAGCACUGGAGUUGCAGGACAACUUCCAUUAAAUAAAUAAAAAGAGACAAAGGCUCGGGGGUUAAAGAAAAAUGUAAGGAUUUACUCAGCAGAGGAGGGCAGUGUCUGUAGGCACCAUUUUGCUUGGAACCAGUUGCAGUUGUUGGCGAAUGGCGGCCGUUAAAGGGUGAUUCAGAGCAAGUGCCUCCAUUAUGAAUGAGCUGAGUGGAGCCACAGCUG